GACGAACGCUGGCGGCGUGCUUAACACAUGCAAGUCGAACGGUGAAGGAGCGCUUGCGCUCUGGAUCAGUGGCGAACGGGUGAGUAACACGUGAGCAAUCUGCCCCGGACUCUGGGAUAAGCGCUGGAAACGGCGUCUAAUACUGGAUAUGACGCGCGACGGCAUCGUCUGCGCGUGGAAAGAAUUUCGGUUCGGGAUGAGCUCGCGGCCUAUCAGCUUGUUGGUGAGGUAAUGGCUCACCAAGGCGACGACGGGUAGCCGGCCUGAGAGGGUGACCGGCCACACUGGGACUGAGACACGGCCCAGACUCCUACGGGAGGCAGCAGUGGGGAAUAUUGCACAAUGGGCGCAAGCCUGAUGCAGCAACGCCGCGUGAGGGAUGACGGCCUUCGGGUUGUAAACCUCUUUUGGCAGGGAAGAAGCGAAAGUGACGGUACCUGCAGAAAAAGCACCGGCUAACUACGUGCCAGCAGCCGCGGUAACAC
rnacentral:rRNA from 1 species